rnacentral:lncRNA from 1 species
UCCUUGAUAUUAAUAUAUUUUGUUAAUCUCUACUCCUAAUGGACGAGUUGGUUGAAUAGUCCUGGUUUAUUUUUGUCCGAUUUUUUUUGUCUGGUUUAUUUUCGUCUCACCUCCCACCACCCCUCCCAUGCUAAAACCGAAUCGUGUCUGAUACUCCUUCCAUUUAUUCGUAAUGUAUUUAUGUGAAAAAAAUCAAUUAUGAUUAAUCUAUAAUCAAUCUCUGAAAAAUCAAAUCAAAAUUAAUCAACUAUACCAUAAGUUCCUCAAUCACAUUAAAUAAUAUUUCCAUACUUCUCAAAAAUUACACUAAUUAAUGUUUUCAUACCUUGCCCAAAAUAUUAAUUAAUGUGAUUGAGGAACUUAUGGUAUAGUUGAUUAAUUUAGAUUUGAUUUUUCAGAGAUUGAUUAGAGAUUCUUCGGUACACACGUAAAAAGGGAAGAAAAGAAAAAGGAAAACAAACCAGGAAAAGGAAACAUAUGCAUGGACGUCAAUCCCCUUCAUCUCUCCCGCUCUCUUUCCUUUCCUGGGAUGUAGCCGCCGAUUUUCUCCCUUGCUCAUGUUCUCCUUAAAGAGGUGGACAUUGAGAGGCAGCGAGCGUGGUAGGCCUCAGAUCGCGGAUCCUCCUGACCUUGCAGUCCUUCUCCGAUGUCGUCCUUGCAUAAUCCAACACCCUCCUCCUCCCAGUGCCAUACCUGCGUCAUUGGAGGUUGUGUGCGAGCUGGCCGCCGUCCCCAAGUAUCUUCAACAGGUUGUGUGCUGCUCCCAGAUAACACAAUUCGUGGAAGAGUUACAGAGAAGUGAGGGUUGGGGAGAACUGGCGUCGCGCCGUCGCUGAUCUGCUGGAUGACAUGCAGCACGGCCAUUCCAUCGAGCCACCAUAGCCGCUCCUUCCAGUAUGCAAUGAGGUUUGGUCGAGGGCAAGGGUAACAGUUGUGCGUGCUUGCUUGUUGUUAUUCUCGAGGUGGAUAGGUCAUGCCAUGAGCCCUCCUCCACGCAUGGCGCAGCUUCCUUCGAUCUUGCACGUCCUCGAAUCCCUGCUGGCAGGUGAUGCUGCUUCCUUACCUGAGUCAAAACUGAAGGCAUCCACUUAUUGUGGUAAGAACCAAUCUCAUGUAUUGCCAUUUUUAUAAGUUUCUUGAUGCAAAUCAUAGCAAGAAUAUUGUGUUCUUCCUAUUUGUUUGAUUAGUUCCAAAACAGAAGCAAUUCUAUCGUGACGAUUUCAAAUGUUUCUUGUAGAAAUUUAGCAUAGUACUAAAGCAACUGAAUUAUCAUUUUAUCACAACCGCAGGCUAAUUCUGAAAUAAAAGCAAUGGUAAAUUUUUUCAUUAAACUGUAAUCAAUAAAAUGCCAUUUUGUAUAUUAUUUAACUAUUGGGUAUGCUAAUCUUUGGGUUCAUUGGAUGUGAAUAAUGGACCUGGUAUGAUUGGUGCUUGUACAAUUACGUAAUAGGAGUAGCAACAUUAUACAUCUUUCGAGUUACGGUAGGUUACCAGUGGCAAUUGCAGCUAUGGAUGUAUCACAAUUGUGUGUACUGUAGGUGUACGUGGAUUAGGAGAACAGUAUGAGCCAAUGGAUUUUUUUCAUGUCUGCCUCUACGGCAAGCCCUUGAGUGUAUUUUAUUUAUAUCGCAAGAACAUGACAGUUUCAAGAAUAUAUACGAGUCAGCUAUCUUGUGCCCUUUUGUCCAUUUUUACUUAAAUACUAUGAGGCGACUGCUUAUUGUUAUUCUUGCCAUUGAAGAUCUAGGUAAAAAAUAAUAAUGAACCUGAAAUAUCGGCAAAACAAUCUCUACUCCUAAUGGACGAGUUGGUUGAAUAGUCCCGGUUUAUUUUUGUUCUGUUUUUUUCCGUCUGGUUUAUUUUCGUCUCACCUCCCACCACCCCUCCCAUGCUAAAACCGAAUCGCGUCUGAUACUCCUUCCAUUUAUUCGUAAUGUAUUUAUGUGAAAAAAUCAAUUAUGAUUAAUCU